rnacentral:rRNA from 1 species
GGUCAAGUUAUUAAGGGUGCAGGGCGGAUGCCUUGGCACUAGGAGCCGAUGAAGGACGUGAUAAGCUGCGAUAAGCUUCGGGGAGUUGCACGUAAACUUUGAUCCGAAGAUUUCCGAAUGAGGAAACUCACUUAGAGUAAUGUCUAAGUAUCAUUAAGUGAAUACAUAGCUUAAUGAGGGGAACUCAGGGAACUGAAACAUCUAAGUACCUGAAGGAAGAGAAAGAAAUUCGAUUCCGUAAGUAGCGGCGAGCGAACGCGGAUUAGCCCAAACCAAUAAAGUUUUCUUUAUUGGGGUUGCGGACAUAUCAUAACGAAGAGGUAUCAUAAUUGAAGAGGUUUGGAAAGACCCACCACAGAAGGUAAUAGUCCUGUAUGUUAAACGAGAAGACUUCAGAUAUGAUCCAGAGUACCACGGGACACGUGAAACCCUGUGGGAAGCAGGAGGGACCACCCUCCAAGGCUAAAUACUACCUAGUGACCGAUAGCGUAUAGUACCGUGAGGGAAAGGUGAAAAGAACCCCGGGAGGGGAGUGAAAUAGAACCUGAAACCCUGCACUUACAAGCUGUGGAAGCACAUUUCUUGUGUGACCGCGUACUUUUUGUAGAACGGGCCAACGAGUUACGUUAAGUAGCAAGGUUAAGCACUUAAGGUGUGGAGCCGUAGCGAAAGCGAGUUUUAACUGAGCGUUCAGUUACUUGACGUAGACCCGAAACCGGGCGACCUACCCAUGAGCAGGAUGAAGCGAAAGUAAAAUUUCGUGGAGGUCCGAACCCACGAGCGUUGAAAAGCUCGGGGAUGACUUGUGGGUAGCGGUGAAAUUCCAAUCGAGCCCGGAGAUAGCUGGUUCUCCCCGAAAUAGCUUUAGGGCUAGCCUCAAGGUGAGAGAUACGGAGGUAGAGCACUGAAUGUCCUAGGGGGUAUUGCACCUACCGAAGACUAUCAAACUCCGAAUGCCGUCAUCUUAUACUUGGGAGUCAGACUGUGGGUGAUAAGAUUCAUAGUCGAAAGGGCAACAGCCCAGAUCGUCAGCUAAGGUCCCUAAAUGUAAGUUAAGUGGUAAAGGAUGUGGGAUUGCACAGACAACCAGGAUGUUGGCUUAGAAGCAGCCACUCAUUCAAAGAGUGCGUAAUAGCUCACUGGUCGAGUGAUCCUGCGCCGAAGAUUUCCGGGGCUAAAACUUACUACCGAAGCUACGGCAUCAGUAAUGAUGGGUAGGGGAGCUUCCCAUACGGGUUGAAGCAUGACCGUAAGGACAUGUGGACAGUAUGGGAGUGAGAAUGUUGGCAUGAGUAGCGAGAUGUGGGUGAGAAUCCCACAGGCCGUAAACCCAAGGUUUCCAGGGGAAGGUUCGUCCGCCCUGGGUUAGUCGGGACCUAAGCUGAGGCCGAAAGGCGUAGGUGAUGGACAACAGGUUGAUAUUCCUGUACUACCGAUAACCGUUUGAGAGAAGGGAUGACACAGUAGGAUAAGCUAAGCACACUGUUGGUUAUGUGUGCCCAAGCAUUGAGGCAGUCAAAGUAGGCAAAUCCGCUUUGAUAAUGCUGGGAUGUGAUGGGGAGCGAAAUUUAGUAGCGAAGUAGCUGAUUUCACACUGUCAAGAAAAGUCUCUAUCGAGGUUAAAGGUACCCGUACCGCAAACCGACACAGGUGGGUGAGGAGAGUAUCCUAAGGCCAGCGAGAGAACUGUUGUUAAGGAACUCGGCAAAAUGACCCCGUAACUUAGGGAUAAGGGGUGCCACCAUUAGGUGGCCGCAGAGAAUAGGCCCAAGCGACUGUUUACCAAAAACAUAGGUUUCUGCUAAGUCGCAAGACGAUGUAUAGGAGCUGACGCCUGCCCGGUGCUGGAAGGUUAAGGGGAUCUGUUAGAG